rnacentral:lncRNA from 1 species
CGGUAUUUCUUCAAUUUUUUCCGUAUUUCUCAGUGAAAAAUAGAAAAUUGUUCCAAAUGAAAGUCGAAAUAGAAGAUAUGGACGUCAGCACCAUAUGUGACUCAGUCUCGUCACUGGUAGAAGGAUGUCGCUUGCCCGUCCAAAUGAAAGGUACAGCAGACUGGCCUCUAGCCGAAAUAAUCAGUCUCAAAGACAUUCAAGGGAC